rnacentral:rRNA from 1 species
CUCACUAAAUCAGUUAUAGUUUAUUUGAUGGUCUCUUUUGUCUUUUUUUACCUACUUGGAUAACCGUGGUAAUUCUAGAGCUAAUACAUGCGCAAGGUCCCGAGCGCGGAGAGUGGGGCUUCACGGCUCUAUUCUUGCAUGCGUAGAGGGAUGUAUUUAUUAGGUUAAACGACCAGCAUUUUCAAUCAUCUGGUGAUUCAUAGUAACUCUUUCGGAUCGCAUUCAUG